CUUGCUUCUACCGUUGAAAACCACGGUACAAUUUAGUCGGGCUGAAAUCCCUCGCUCUCUCCUCUCGGUCUCCAGACGUUCUCUCUUCCUCUCCAGACGCACUCUUGCUCUCUCGUCUGAAUCCCAGAUCCGCCCUCCCUCUGUUCUUGGAAAAUAUUAUUCUUCUUCCCAGAUAUAGCUCCUCGCGAGCAUGUCAGCCUCAGACGUUUGGAUUGCUGUGGCCCGAUCUCAACGACAGAUUGUUCUACAACGACGUCGUUCGAGCCUCUAAUUCCGGUACUCUCUUUCUCUCCCUCUCUUUAAAAUCUCCCUAGUAAGAUACUGUUUUUUUCUACUAUUUCUGUUUUUUUUUCCUGCAUUUUCUCGGCAGCCAAACAGCCUCCAAGCCUAGAACUCGAUUGUCGAUGCUUUCUUCGAUUUUAACUUGUCCGAAUUUGACUCCGAUUGUUGGUGUGCAUUACAGAACUGACACUGAUCGAGUUCUACUCUAGCAAGUACAAUAAUUCAGCUCCAUUGCAAGGGUAAUCAGCUUAUACCAAAUUGCAUUCCAACAAUUUAAAUUAAUUUGAUUUAUUUACUGAUUUAUUUUUGCACUUUAAGCAAUAAAAAAAUGUUUAAUUUGAAGAACAGAUGAAAACUUUGUACUGAUAAUUGAGCAGUUUCUUCGUGAA